GAUCCUUAUGACAUGCCAUAAGUCACUUCCCUCCAUUUGGCACUACUGCCACUCACGAACACCUUUGGCUUCAAUAUCCUAUCCAGCUUCUCUCCAUUUCUUCUGAAUCAAUCUCUAAAGUUCUACUGGAAAUACAUUCUCGGGAUCCACUGGAGCUGGGCUUAUGAAAUACCCAGAGGGAUAGCUGAUGGCUCUCAACUCAUCAGAACUCAGGCCUAUAUGGAGAAAGGGUUAGCAUCACCUGAUGUUGGUGACCUGGGAAAACUGCAUGAGUCAAGCAGAGAAAAGAAUUGUUAUUUGGUGAGUUGGUUGUGUAAUUUAAAUCAUUAACCACAUAAGCAUAGCAAUGUGCUGUGAAUAAAAAGCAAAUCACUCACCCCUGUCA
rnacentral:lncRNA from 1 species